UGAUCCUGGCUCAGGACGAACGCUGGCGGCGUGCUUAACACAUGCAAGUCGAACGAUGACGGUGGUGCUUGCACCGCCUGAUUAGUGGCGAACGGGUGAGUAACACGUGAGUAACCUGCCCUCCACUUCGGGAUAACCUCGGGAAAUCGUGGCUAAUACCGGAUAUGAGCACUCAUCGCAUGGUGGGUGUUGGAAAGAUUUAUCGGUGGGGGAUGGACUCGCGGCCUAUCAGUUUGUUGGUGAGGUGAUGGCUCACCAAGACGAUGACGGGUAGCCGGCCUGAGAGGGCGACCGGCCACACUGGGACUGAGACACGGCCCAGACUCCUACGGGAGGCAGCAGUGGGGAAUAUUGCACAAUGGGCGAAAGCCUGAUGCAGCGACGCCGCGUGGGGGAUGACGGCCUUCGGGUUGUAAACCCCUUUCAGUAGGGAAGAAGCGAGAGUGACGGUACCUGCAGAAGAAGCGCCGGCUAACUACGUGCCAGCAGCCGCGGUAAUACGUAGGGCGCAAGCGUUGUCCGGAAUUAUUGGGCGUAAAGAGCUUGUAGGUGGCUUGUCGCGUCUGCCGUGAAAACCCGAGGCUCAACCUCGGGCGUGCGGUGGGUACGGGCAGGCUAGAGUGUGGUAGGGGAGACUGGAACUCCUGGUGUAGCGGUGAAAUGCGCAGAUAUCAGGAAGAACACCGAUGGCGAAGGCAGGUCUCUGGGCCAUUACUGACACUGAGAAGCGAAAGCAUGGGUAGCGAACAGGAUUAGAUACCCUGGUAGUCCAUGCCGUAAACGUUGGGCACUAGGUGUGGGGGACAUUCCACGUUUUCCGCGCCGUAGCUAACGCAUUAAGU
rnacentral:rRNA from 1 species